rnacentral:siRNA from 1 species
UUUAUUUUGGAUGCCUCAUAA